rnacentral:rRNA from 1 species
CAUGGAGGGUGAGAAUCCCGUUCAUGGUUAAUCUUAAGGAAGCUCUACGAUACGUUUUCCAAGAGUCGAGUUGUUUGGGAUUGCAGCUCAAAAUGGGAGGUAAAUUUCUCCUAAGGCUAAAUAUUGGCGAGAGACCGAUAGCGAACAAGUACCGUGAGGGAAAGAUGAAAAGAACUUUGAAAAGAGAGUUAAACAGUACGUGAAAUUGUUGAAAGGGAAACGAUUGAAGUCAGUCAUACCAACGGGAAAUCAACCUUUUGAGCUCGGUCUCGUGGGUUUUGAAGAGUUUCAAAGCCUUCGGAUUCGCGGGAUUGGGAUCUCUUGGCGUACUUUUUCGUACGGUUAGUCAACAUCGGUUUUGAAUGUCAUAAAAUGACUGGAGGAAUGUAGCUUCGAUCUCGUAUUGAAGUGUUAUAGCCUUUGGUAGAUGUGAUGUUUGAGACCGAGGAUUGCAACGGAUACCCUUCAGGGCUAUUCGUCUGAUCUCUGAUACGUUGCCUUGAUGUUGAAAGCUUGCUUAUGAUGUUAGGGUAUUACGGUCAAAAGGUUAGAACGAAUUACAUUCGUUAAGGAUGUUGACGUAAUGG